AUAGCUGAAGCACAGUACAAAUAUCGCUGCGAAAAUGACAGUUGUGAGUUGUGGCUCAGAUUUGGCUUCGCAUGCGGGGCGCAAUCAAAGCAAACGUCAUUAGCACUCGCGACAUCGCCUUCGAUUGACAGAAGGGAAGGGUAGAGGAGAAGGAGCAGGAGCAGCAGAUCCUGCCGCAGGAUUCAGCAGCCAGGAGGCCAGGCACGAACAACUUUACAUUUGCAUAACUUCGGUGCAGCUCCAGCGUUCAGAUUCCGAUUCACAGAUGUCAAUGGGCGUGGCCGUGGGACGCGAAGCGAGCCAGCUGAAAAUCAAAGCCCAAUUGGCACAAACACGCGG